GUACAGCUCUGGGGAUUGCCAACGGGCACAAUGUAGAUUGUCAAAGCUAGAUCAUUAAAUCAAAAAUUGUCAUCAUGGGACUGAGUGUCUUAGGAGUACUAACAGUUAUAGUGCACCUUUUCCCAUUAGCUGUAGGAACUAGGAACAGCCAGUACUUGAAGGAAUUACAAGACUGGAUUUCAAACUGAUGACCCAGCAUCUGAAAAAAAACCCAUUUCUUCUUCUGUGCCCUUUUCCCAGAGUCAGUAUUAACAGCAUCAGCUUCUCAACUAACUGUAGUUCUUGAGUUAGGAAUCAGAAAGUUACAGAACUCAAAUGCUUCUGGAGCCAUGGAAAAGAUCACUGCCAGCAGCAAAUCCAGCAGAUCCAAAAUGCAGUUGAGCAAUUUGUUUAGAGUACCUGUAAAAUAAUUUUGACCAAUCUGAUACAGCAUACAAAACAAACUAUUCAGUUGAAAGAUUGCCUUGUAUACAAAUAUUAUAUAUAAUUGCUUCUGUAAAUGGAUUUGGGAGGUGGGAAUAACUCUAAAAAAAAUCCAAACCCCCAAACUACAUUCAUAUUCCCAUUUGAUAUCUCUGCAAUGCAUAUUGUGUUUAAUAAUAGUAAAUGUACAAACAGUGGUUUGUACUAACCCAGUCAUAUUCUGAUUCUCAACAUGAGUUGGGAAAUCAGUGAUUUCAACAUUUUUCAGGACAAUGGUUGAAAUUAGUGAACUAGGCUCAGGCUCCUCAUUAUUCAUGAUAAUUUCAGGCCUAUCUUACUCAGAGUUCCUAAACAAUACUUACAGAAGUUUUGGAGAGCUACACGCACUAGCCAGUAAGACUGUUUUGAUUAUCACAUCUAAUCAGGACUUACCUGGAAACAGUUUCAGCUUCUAACAUUCUUGACAUUCCAAACUAAAAUAAUUAUGAAAUAUGAAUGAAUUUUACUGUAGAAUCCAUUUCUAAUCUUUUAAGAGAGACAUUGUUUGGAUAAACCUAUAAAAUUAUUCUGUCUUCCAUUUGUCAAAGGAGCAAAUGAGAAGAGCAAAUGAGAAGAGAAGGAAAGGUGAAAAAAAGAGUUAAUAACACAUCAGAUAUAUCUGAAAAGUGAGAAGCAAAAUUAUUUCCCUGAUCAGCAAAGGACUCCAGCUACAGAUGACUCACCAGAGCAUCCCCACAACUUCUGCUAUUAUAGAACCACCAAGUAACAGGAAGAGGGAGAACCUGACACCAGGAAAAGGAGUAGACUCACAACUUUUGUUCACAAACAACAGGUCCAGUGAAAUACCUUCCAUAGUUGUCGGCCUCACCAGCUGUCUCAGGAAGUAACCUUCCACACAUUGCGAGAACCUCCCAGACUCUUUCCUCUCCACUGUACUGUUUUUACAGCAGAAAUCUGCAUACAGCACAAGUCCCACAAAAGAAUGUAUGAACUUGAGACCUCUAGAACAACAGCUGAAAAAGUUUUGCAGCCAGAGAUGAAGUCACACAUUCUACUGGGCAUUGACAGUGUUCUGAGGCAUGAAUUCCCACAGCAGGGAGCUUGAGUGAAAACGUCCAGAUAAUCCUGAGAAGCAGAUUGCAGUUCCCAAAGGAAGAAGUAAAGAUUUAAAAAUAAGAUGUUGCUACCAAUCUCCCCAGAAGAAAAAAACCUUUUUUUGACCUAGAAUCUGGUGUUAAAAUGAAUGUUUGACUAAUAGUGUCUAGUCCUGAGAUCAGAAGACCAGGUGCCGAAAUUUUCAGAAUUUACAAGGGAAGCAAAGAAACAAGAAGCAAGAAACAAGAAAGGAAAACUGACCAAAAGUAAGCCUUUCUUCUCAUUUCUUACAAAUGCAUCCAGAAACAGUGAAAAUAUGGUACAGAAAGAAAGAUGAUCAUCAAGAUCACUUUAACUGCCUGGCACAGAAAGAGUUAAAAUUUUAAAAUUUACAUUUAUGAAAGUCACAGAGGAAUGUUAUUUUAAAGUUAACACCAAGUCUCAUCAUUGAACACGUGAUUAAAAGUGUUUGCUGAUAUUCUAUUGACAGUGUUGGUAAAGGCAGCUUUUGCAAAAAGAUGAUCUACAUCUCUCAAGCAACGGUCAAGCAACUGAAAAAAAUAUACAAAAUUAGACAAACAAACAUACAAACAAAACAACAACAACAAAAAAGAAACUAAGAAGAAAACACCCCAAACUACUAAAUAUUUAUAAAAAUUUCUGGGAAUAUUUCUGACCUAUAAUAGAAUAAGUUGAAACAGAAAUGGAAAAUAGAUUGAAGCAAGUAAAAAGAAAAAGAAGAAACUUUAGGAACAUAUUCCUUCAUUUUUGAUAAUGGAAACACUCAUUAUGCUUUUAUAUAAUAAAUGAUGUGUUUAUAUAAAUACUGAAUCUCUGAC